rnacentral:rRNA from 1 species
UACGUAGGUGGCAAGCGUUUUCCGGAAUUAUUGGGCGUAAAGCGCGCGCAGGUGGUUCCUUAAGUCUGAUGUGAAAGCCCACGGCUCAACCGUGGAGGGUCAUUGGAAACUGGGGAACUUGAGUGCAGAAGAGGAAAGUGGAAUUCCAAGUGUAGCGGUGAAAUGCGUAGAGAUUUGGAGGAACACCAGUGGCGAAGGCGACUUUCUGGUCUGUAACUGACACUGAGGCGCGAAAGCGUGGGGAGCGAACAGG